GACGAACGCUGGCGGCGUGCUUAACACAUGCAAGUCGAACGAAGUGGCGAACGGGUGAGUAACGCGUAAUCAACCUGCCCUUCAGAGGGGGACAACAGUUGGAAACGACUGCUAAUCCCGCAUACUGAAGGAGGGGCUUUCGUCUGAUUAGCUCGUUGGAGGGGUAACGGCCCACCAAGGCGAUGAUCAGUAGCCGGUCUGAGAGGAUGAACGGCCAAACUGGGACGGAGACACGGCCCAGACUCCUACGGGAGGCAGCAGUGGGGAAUCUUCCGCAAUGGACGAAAGUCUGACGGAGCAACGCCGCGGGAGUGAUGACGGCCUUCGGGUUGUAAAGCUCUGUUAAUCGGGACGCGGUACCGGAAUAGAAAGCCACGGCUAACUACGUGCCAGCAGCCGCGGUAAUUC
rnacentral:rRNA from 1 species